CCCGGAGCUGCUUCUGAUUACCGCGAGGGGCCCGGACGCGAGAGCCGCCGCGGGGCCUGCCCUAGAGGCGGAGUGAUGAACUGUGGCUUCCCCCCUGCGGUGCUGAACUCGCCCGUGUAGCUGUGAUUUUAGAGCUGCCGACAGCUCUAAGCUGGGCUCGCGCCCCGCCCACCCCGCGGGGAUUGGCUGCGAACGCGGAAGAACCAAGCCCACGCCCCGCGCCCGCGC
rnacentral:lncRNA from 1 species